ACAUGCUUACAACAUAGCGUCAAUGCAUCGGAUCCCAUUAGAACUUUGCAGUUAAGUGCUCUUAGGCUAGAGUAGUAAUGGGAUGGGUGAUCGCCCGAGAAGUCCUAGUGUUUUACAUGCC
rnacentral:rRNA from 1 species